rnacentral:rRNA from 1 species
AGGUGAACCUGCGGAAGGAUCAUUGCACACACAAGUUGCAGCCAACCCACGGCGAACGAACACAUUGUCCCCCUCGGUGGGUCGUGGCGCCUCGCGGCGUCGCGGCCGGCCAUCUCCUCUCGUCACGAGCUUCGUCGCGGCGAACUCGUGGCGUGGGGUUUCCACGAUGCAUCCACCUUGACUGAAUGACUGAGUCCCUUUACUUCAUAGGAGUGUGAGCUCCGUCCCCUUUCGUUGGCUGGCUUGCUGGCGAGGGGGGUCGGCGCUGGUUACCUUAUGAGUUGAAACAUAAAUAAAAACAACUCUCAGCAACGGAUAUCUUGGCUCUUGCAACGAUGAAGAACGCAGCGAAAUGCGAUACGUAGUGUGAAUUGCAGAAUUCCGCGAAUCAUCGAGUCUUUGAACGCAAGUUGCGCCCGAGGCUUGUCCGAGGGCAUUUCCGCUAGAGCGUCACCGCGCCCCCCACCGACCCACUCCCACGUGGAGUCGGGUCGAGUGAAAGUGGCCAUCCCGGUGGUCCCUUUUUUUUCCCCAAGGGAAGGAAGGGCCUUAAGGGUUGGCUGAAAUGGAUGGAAUCGAGCCGCCGUGGUGACACAGUCCGCGAUCGGGUGAUCCGAGCUCCUUCGGGAGCCCGGAGUUUUUCUAAGUGCGUGGCUGCGUCCCCCAGUUGGUUGUGGUUACCUCAUGCAGGUCGAGCGCGCCCCCGUGGCGCGCGUCACGCAUCAGACCUCUAAUCGGAAAAGACUACCCGCUGAGUUUAAGCAUAUCACUAAGCGGAGGAGAAGAAACUAACCAGGAUUUCCCUA